CAGUCCUGCGAACAGAAAGAGGAAGAGGUUUGCAUAUAUGGAAAGAAAAAAACAUAAAACACUAAAUAUCAGUUCUGCGCUUGCUCAUUAGGAAAUGGUACCAAUUUCUCAAUGUUUCUCUUGACAGCUUUUUCUACCAGUAGCUUUUUUUGGUUUGUUGUUUUUAAUAACUGUUACAAGGUCACUGCAGCACAUGCUCUGACAGAAGAGCGCAUACUGCUUGGCUGGUAUUUCUUUGUACCUAUGGCCAUUUAUUAGUGUUCUUUCACUGAUACCUGUAUCUUCAAAAAGAAUGCAUUUUUAUUUUAGUUUGUGUUCUUACAUUUCUUUUGUCUUUCCCUUUACUUUGAAAAACAAACAAAAUAAAUAGAAGCUAUAGCCAUAUUAGAUCAGGCAAUACCCAGAAGAGAUCAGAUUCUUGUUUGUACUUUGGAAAAAAAAAAAAGAAAAGAAAAUGUAUGCAUAAUAAUAUAUUUCCUGUUAUUUUUGGUAAAUUUCCUCUUACAGAAGAUAUUUUUAAGCAAAAUAUGUAUGGAUCUUUUUAUGGUAAUUCAGAUAUGUUGGGCUUUCUUAAAAUCAAAUUCCAGUGGAAUUAAAAUAUGAAUGUAAAUGAGAAAAACCCAAGCCUAGUCAUGAAAGUGUAAGCAGUUUCAGAUUAUAAAUUAUGCUUUAAAAUGUGGUAUCUGACCAUUCUGUAUUUAUAUGUAAGUAUAAAUACAUGUUGCUGCAUCACUAAUGGCAUUAAAAAGGGGGUGACUAGAUGUCUGAAAACACUGCCUCUGUGGACUGGCUUUCACUAGGGCUCAGUGGUGGUGCUGUCUUCAGAAGAGCAGCCCUGAAGUAAGGUGUGGGUGACCUUGAGCAGGCUCUGUUCCCAGGCAGGAGAUGGAGCAGGGGGAGGCACUCCAGUCUGCGCUGGUAUCCGCUGCUUCUGGUGCAUGUAAGCACUGGAAAUCCUGGCAUCUUGCAUAAAACAACAGGAAACGUGCCUUAUAUGAACACUGGGAGGGAGGAGAAGUUGCAGGUUGGCUUCUCUGCACAGAGGCACAAAGUAGUAGAGAGUAUCCUGAUGGUGCACCAUUGCCAUUUCCAGUAGGCUUUGGUGGUUUGUUAAUCUCCAGCAUCUAACUUCUUCUCCCAACAGAAGCACAGAAACAUUUAAUUCCUACCUAGCUAGACUAAGUCAGAUUGCCUCCAUCAAAGAGCUUGCUGUAGAAUGCACCAUUGAACAGAUCACUGUAGGAAUACAAUUUUGAAAUAGUGCAUGCUGAUCUUCCAAGCCAGGAACAUUAUACUUCACAAGCGGGAAGACAUGAACAUAAUGGGGAAGGGAGGCAGAAAAGAGAAGAAAGAUUUUUCCUAACUUCAAAACUGCCAGGGCUUAAACAGGUAUGUCCAGGUUCUCUCCUCCACCACCCCUGAGCAAAGACAAGGUAUGAAAUGUCUUCUUUUUAAUUAAUUUUGUUAAUGAAAGGUAUAAUUAACAGAUUUAUGAUCUCACUGAAUAAGCUACCAAAUAAAAGUUGUCUUUUUGAUCA